rnacentral:lncRNA from 1 species
UCUGAAAGCUUAUGUAGUGUAAAUUGUGUCUUGGAAAUUAUAUUCCAGAUCUCACUGUUCAAGAUCAGUUUGUAAUAUAACAUUAGAAAGCAGAUACAUAGAAUCAAACUUCCUGCUCAUAUAAGAUUUCAGAGGAAGAUGAAGACUGCGCAAGAAGCAAGUGUCUCACCACGUUGGAAAUCAAACUUUUUAACUACUUGAAAGGAUCAAGGCCAAACUAAAGAGCCUCCUGUGACUUGCAGAACAUUAAAGCCCAUAACCGCUGGGACUGAUUUUAGAACUUGGUCUGCCAGUAGCUUACAGUGUAGAAAGGUGUGCUUCUCUCUCUUUCUUGGAUAGAGUUAGAGGCAAUGCCUGAUACCCAGCCAAGAUGGACAAAGGACAAGGA